rnacentral:lncRNA from 1 species
CUCUUUCAUAUCUUCAUUAUUGUCAGUGAUGCGGUCAAACGUGGUAUCGAGAUUGGUGGAAGCCAUGGUACCUACAAGAAAAGACAACAACAAAACAACAAACUUGUUAGCUCAAAAAUGUCUCACCACACUUUCACUCUCGAUUUUUACCUCACACUUGAUUUCACAAGUGUUGAAAGUCGGCUUGUACUUCGCGAGUGAUUGAGGGUCGAGUCUACUCUUGCCUAGAAUAGAUUUUCAUUUUAGUUGACUCAAAGAAAAUUUGUUUACGGACUUGAACCAACAAGAUACAACGAAUUCACAAAAGAUAAAAGCACACAACAAACGUAGACACGAACAAACGGACUCUACAACUAACUUACAAUCUAGUAGGAGAUUACUAUUUUGUUAAUUAGUGUUCGAACCAUAAACAAAACUAGGAAACAAUAAAAUGAAACUAAGAAAUCUGAAAUUUGAGCUUAAAAAUUAUCGGUGAACAGUAAAAACGUGAUGUGGAAGCCACGUAUUGGUUGCGGUUGUUAUCAAAUUUUAUUUUCUAAUUCAAGUCUUGGUCCAAUUGUAAUUUGAAAUUGGUGGAAAUUGGUUAAGGAGAGAAAACAAGUCUUGAAAUCCUCUUUCAAAUUCAAAAAGCAAGACUUGACUUUUGUCCUCAAGACAUGGUCCUUAAAUCAUAGAAGGUUGUUGGAAAAGUGGUUGUUAAAGUCCUUGAGUGGUUGAAAUUGGUCGUAAAAGUCUUGAGAGGUCUUAAAUUUUGGAAAUAUGUCUUUCAAGACUAACAAAAUAUACACUCUCUUUCUUGAACUUUCAAGAUCAAACAUCUACUUUUUCUUCAACAAUAGAUGAAGAUGUGAAGAACACCAAGAACACAUUUUUUUUUAAUCUUGAAGUUCUAAGGUUCAAGUUGGACCCUAAACAUCAACAAUACCUUUCCAAGAUUAAAAAUACAACACAAUAACCACCAUACACAUUCAAACCUUGAACCAACAACACACCACACGUCCAAGCUUUGAAUCCGCAACAAUAAUACCAACAAUUAAAGCUCAAAUCUAGAUCUAGACUUAUUUAGUGUUAGAGGUGAAGAAGCUAAUACUAGAAACAACAAAACAAAUAAAAUGACUCUUAGAUCUAGACUCAAAAUAAGAAAAUCUCGGCCAAGACACAACAAGAACACAAUUUCGGCCAAGACACAAAAAUGGACAGAUUUGUUUCUUUUUGGAAUUUUCAGAUUUCAACUUUUAUUUUUUAUUUUUUGAAUUUUCUAACAAGUAAGAUCAAGAUUGAUCUUGUAGGAACAAGAUCUAGCCAUGCUCUGAUACCAAAUGAUAUACGAAAGACAAGAAAAAUACGAAACAAACACCAAAACCAGUCCACUAGCCAAGAAACCGAGGACCUCUUUUGGUGACCCUUCUCGGAUUCGCUACCAACAAGAAGAAAACAAGGCGCAAUGGCGUAAUAACACCAAAGCAGUAGCAACACAACAAGAACAAGAUGAACAAUAGACUAAUUUUGGAUUCCACGUUAAUAACACAAACACACGGUUAGAACAUCAACACUACUACAUGAUUACAAAGAUACAAAAGGAUAGAUAGUUAGACAAAUUGAAGGUAUAAUAUUAACAACCCAAAAGUCUAUUCCACUCUUGGACCUUUAACAUCACACACAUCAAAUGCCUAACUCUUACGUUGGCGUAAGAGUGACCCCGAUCUCCCAAGCAUCCAACAUUUCCAAGCUUGAAUCCAACACGAGCGAUUCCACACUCAAGUUGAUUUCCCUAGUUACAAUUUCGGGUUGGUGGUCUUCUCUCCUUAGAGAGGAAAUGUUUCAAGUGUUAUAAACUAAUAAUAUUCAUCAAAAAAUCUCCCUAAUGAAACUCUACAUUAUUCUAUUUAUAGUAUAUUACAAAUAAUAGGCAAAAUGACCAAAAG